rnacentral:lncRNA from 1 species
GCAAAAUGACAUCCGCAGUUGUCGCAUUUCUCUUAUUGGAAGAAGAAAGUUCCGAGAAAGUUAAAAGAAAAAUUUUGAGAGAUUGCAGCAAUCCACUUGAGCUGCCUGAGACAGCUUUCAUAGCAUAUUAUCGCCUAAACAAAGAGGCUUUCCGAAUGGUGCUUGACACUAUUGAAGGGCACUUGACACGUUCGAAAGUUCCACCAGUGCUGCAGUUAGCACCUUCGUUGCGAUUUUUAGCUGAAGGAUCCUAUCAAAGAUCAGUCGGGAACGACUCUAGCAUAAGUGUAGCUAGAAGCACGGUGUCAACGAUUUUAGAUGAUGUGCUUAAGGUUAUGGAGCGGUUCAUUUGCCCUCAGUGGGUGAAACUAGAAAUGGACGGCACCGAAAAACGCAGAUCAAGAGACUAUUUUUACUUAAAGUACAAAAUUCCCUCAAUAAUUGGUUGCAUCGACGGGACACACAUAAAAAUCAUCAAGCCGAGUAUUGACGAACAUUUAUUUUAUAAUCGAAAUUGAUAUUUCAGUAUGAACGCCAUGAUUGCAAAUUUGUGAUGGUCACAUGAAAAUUCGAGCGGUCGAUGCACGCUAUCCCGGCUCUAGCCAUGACUCAUUCGUAUGGAACGUUAGUAGCGGCAGACAAUAUUUCCUCAAGAAGUAUGAGUCAGUUGACCGGACAUCAAAGUUGUUAGGAGAUUGUGGAUAUGGCAUAGAACCUUUUUUAUUAACACCAUACAGAGAUCCACGCUACAACUCCAAAGAAUAUAAGUUCAAUUUGGCCCAUUCAUCGCUCGAAAUAUUGUGGAGCGAACAAUAGGAGUGCUGAAAAGCCGAUUUCGCUGCUUAUUGAUCACCUUGCACUAUCGGCCAGAAAAAGUGGUGAAAAUUAUAAAUGUUUGCUGUGCGCUGCACAAUAUCUGCAGAAACUACAACGUGGAAUAUAACGACGACAGUAUUACUUUACCAUCAAAUGAUACUGAUGAAAAUGUUGAAUCUCCACCGAACGCAACACUGCAAAGUGAAGGUAAAAGGAUGAGGGAUGAAAUAGCCAACAGUUUAUAGCAAACCAACUGAAUAAAAAUUCAAAUAUUUAUUUAUUAAAAAAUAAAAAACACAUAU